UACGAAGGGGGCUAGCGUUGCUCGGAAUCACUGGGCGUAAAGCGCACGUAGGCGGCUUUUUAAGUCAGAGGUGAAAUCCUGGAGCUCAACUCCAGAACUGCCUUUGAUACUGGAGAGCUUGAGUCCGGGAGAGGUGAGUGGAACUGCGAGUGUAGAGGUGAAAUUCGUAGAUAUUGGGAAGAACACCGGUGGCGAAGGCGGCUCUCUGGGCCGAUAUUGACGCUGAGGAGCGAAAGCGUGGGGAGCGAACAGG
rnacentral:rRNA from 1 species